CAUCAACAUACACCUCAAUGGGCAGAACGCGAUAACCGGAUAUUCGGUAGCCCACGUUAUUUAUUGCGAUAAUUACAAGCUUAACGACCGACAACACGCAUUCUGCCACGAACAAAAAUAGAUGCUGACUGACCUGCUGAACAAUUCCAGCAUUUUAUCAAGUCAAUAAUAAAGAGGGUGUGCAGGUCUUAUGGAUUAUGGAACGGUGCCGGAAAAAGUGCCAGUAACGUCAGAAAGGAUCACCCACCCUGCUCAUGGACUGUUUGUCCCACUCUCAUUAGGGAGGAGGCUAAGUAGCAGACUCAAAAACAGUUAUUUUCCCCAAGCAGUAAGGCUGAUCAGCAUCUCCACCCACUGACGCACCCCUCCACACCCAACCAUCACUACUUUAUCAUUUCCUAUCAGAGUCUCCUUACGUACAGACACUCCAGUGUCAAGUGUCACAUUAUGGACAUACAGUCAAUUUGUGUACUGUAUAAACUACCUGUUGGUGAUUCUCUGAUGUAGUAGUUUUGUUAAACUUGUAUUCCCUGACCUUGAAGACCUAAUGGUCAAAUGCCGUCCAUUCUAUUUACCAAGAGAGUUCUCCUCAAUCAUAUGUCCACAGAGUACAUACCACCAGCGACCGACUACAAUCCAGCACUCCAGAGACUGCAUGACGCCGUCUCUAAACACAAAACAGUCCAUCUCGAUGCAUUUCACAGCAUAGUCAGGGACUCCAACCCGGCUUGUUUGAAGAAAAACACUACCCACUUGCAAUCAGCACAUAACCUGUAGCACCAGCAGUCCCAAUGCACUAGAUCACUGUUACACCAAGAUAAGGAAUUCCUGCUCUUCCAUGCCCAUACCUUGUUUCAGUAAAUCUGACCAGCUGGCUGUUCUCCUCCUACCUGCACCCAGGCAGAGGCUACAAACAAGGUUCCAGAGAUUAGGACAACAAAGAACU